UGAAAAUGGAUGACGCUCAAGCGGGCAGCCGACACCACGCCGUUUGGGUAAAACACGGCCUAAAUGAGUAGGAGGGCGUGGUGGUCUUGUUAAGAAGGUGAGAGCGCAAGCUCCACUGAAACGGCCACUAGUGCAGAUCUUGGUGGUAGUAGCAAAUAUUCAAGCGGGAUCCUUGAAGGGCGAAGCGGGGAAGGGUUCCACGCAAACACUGAUUGGGCGUGGGUGAGUCGUGCCUAAGCCAGCUGGUAAUUGUUGAUUCAAAACUGGCGAAAGGGAAGCGGGUUAAAAUUCUCGCACACGGAUGUGGAGGCGGUGACGCAAACCGAGUCGAAGACGUCGGUGAUAGCGCUGGGCAGAGUUUUCUUUUCUGUUUGACCUGCGAGACGCAUAGUGUGGAAUCCGAUUAUCGGGAGAAACACAUGCCGAGGGGCAGAGCGCCGGGAUUCUCCGGCGUCCAGCACGCUAUUGACGACCCUUGAAAAUUCGACUGCGACAAUGUGCUUCUUUUGCCUUCUUUUCGGAGUUGGUAGGAGAGUGCGAUAAUUUCACGCCGUGGCGUACACGAUAACC
rnacentral:rRNA from 1 species